rnacentral:rRNA from 1 species
GAAGCGAACCUGGGGAACUGAAACAUCUAAGUACCCAGAGGAAAGGAAAGCAAUAGCGACUCCGUCAGUAGCGGCGAGCGAAAUCGGAUAGCGGUGAUGUCUGUGAAUGUGUUGGAAUGCACAAUCGAAGAUGGUGAAAAUCCAGUAGCAGAACGAGGCCGCAUAGCCCUCGAGUAUGCUCGGGCUCGUGGAACCCGG